rnacentral:rRNA from 1 species
AUUGAACGCUGGCGGCAUGCCUUACACAUGCAAGUCGAACGGCAGCACGGGAGCAAUCCUGGUGGCGAGUGGCGAACGGGUGAGUAAAGUAUCGGAACGUGCCCAGUCGUGGGGGAUAACGUAGCGAAAGUUACGCUAAUACCGCAUACGAUCUACGGAUGAAAGCGGGGGAUCGCAAGACCUCGCGCGAGUGGAGCGGCGGAAAUCAGAUUAGGUAGUUGGUGGGGUAAAGGCUCACCAAGCCGACGAUCUGUAGCUGGUCUGAGAGGACGACCAGCCACACUGGGACUGAGACACGGCCCAGACUCCUACGGGAGGCAGCAGUGGGGAAUUUUGGACAAUGGGCGCAAGCCUGAUCCAGCCAUGCCGCGUGCAGGAUGAAGGCCUUCGGGUUGUAAACUGCUUUUGUACGGAACGAAAAGGUUUGGCCUAAUAAGCUGGACCCAUGACGGUACCGUAAGAAUAAGCACCGGCUAACUACGUGCCAGCAGCCGCCGUAA